AACGGUCUAUACCUGCGGUACCUGCGGAGGGAUCAUUACCGAGUUAUACAACUCCCAAACCCACUGUGAACCUUACCUCAGUUGCCUCGGCGGGAACGCCCCGGCCGCCUGCCCCCGCGCCGGCGCCGGACCCAGGCGCCCGCCGCAGGGACCCCAAACUCUCUUGCAUUACGCCCAGCGGGCGGAAUUUCUUCUCUGAGUUGCACAAGCAAAAACAAAUGAAUCAAAACUUUUAACAAU
rnacentral:misc_RNA from 1 species